AUCGCUUCUCGGCCUUUUGGCUAAGAUCAAGUGUAGUAAAACUAGCUUUUAAAUUUGUAUCUUUAUCUUUUAAAAAAAAUAAAAAGAUAGCGGCAGGCAGACUUUCCUGGCGAUUCUAAGGGAGGCAUCUGGGUUCUGGGCUUAUGUAUUCUUGCCACUGGGACCCACCCCAC
rnacentral:snRNA from 1 species